UACGGAGGGGGCUAGCGUUAAUCGGAAUUACUGGGCGUAAAGCGUGCGCAGGCGGUUUUGUAAGACUGUCGUGAAAUCCCCGGGCUCAACCUGGGAAUGGCGAUGGUGACUGCAAGGCUAGAGUUUGGCAGAGGGGGGUAGAAUUCCACGUGUAGCAGUGAAAUGCGUAGAUAUGUGGAGGAACACCGAUGGCGAAGGCAGCCCCCUGGGUCAAAACUGACGCUCAUGCACGAAAGCGUGGGGAGCAAACAGG
rnacentral:rRNA from 1 species